GGAGCAGGACCAAGAUAGCGAACUAGAAACAGCUGUGUUCGGAGGCUCCCAUGGAAAAGAACUAUAGUAAGUGUGUGAAUCCUUCCCUGGCAACCAAGGUAUCCAGGUUUCUCUUAGAAGAACUGACUAGGAGGCUGGCAUGAUCCGCGGAGAGGAGGGAAGAACAGUGUGGUGCAGUGGUCCACCUGAGAGCCGCACGGGGCAGGGGAGACCCUUCCCCCCAGCCAAGGGAGGCGGUGGAAGUGAGAAGCAGGCUGGGAUAUGGACACGACAGAAGAAACAAAAAUGCUCCUUAUUAAUACCGAAGAUCCUUUCCAUUUUGUGUUUUCUUGAAGAUUCUCUGAGCAAUAUUAAAAUCAAAAUAUCAGUGAAGCCCAAGAAACUAUUAACAGCUCCCAGGACUGUGCCCUGAAGUGAGAAGGAAU
rnacentral:lncRNA from 10 species